rnacentral:rRNA from 1 species
UGCAGAGGUCUCAAGCGUUGUUCGGAUUCAUUGGGCGUAAAGGGUGCGUAGGUGGCGCGCUAAGUCAGGUGUGAAAUUUCGGAGCUUAACUCCGAAACUGCAUUUGAUACUGGCGUGCUUGAGGACUGGAGAGGAGACUGGAAUUCAUGGUGUAGCAGUGAAAUGCGUAGAGAUCAUGAGGAAGACCAGUGGCGAAGGCGGGUCUCUGGACAGUUCCUGACACUGAGGCACGAAGGCCAGGGGAGCGAACGGG